AGGGCUUCGGCCCUAGUGGCGCACGGGUGAGUAACACGUGGGAACCUGCCUUUCGGUUCGGGAUAACGUCUGGAAACGGACGCUAACACCGGAUACGUCCCCCAGAGAGAUUUGGGCGGAGAAAGUUUACGCCGAGAGAGGGGCCCGCGUCCGAUUAGGUAGUUGGUGGGGUAAUGGCCCACCAAGCCGACGAUCGGUAGCUGGUCUGAGAGGAUGAUCAGCCACACUGGGACUGAGACACGGCCCAGACUCCUACGGGAGGCAGCAGUGGGGAAUAUUGGACAAUGGGGGCAACCCUGAUCCAGCAAUGCCGCGUGAGUGAUGAAGGCCUUAGGGUUGUAAAGCUCUUUCGCACGCGACGAUGAUGACGGUAGCGUGAGAAGAAGCCCCGGCUAACUUCGUGCCAGCAGCCGCGGUAAUACGAAGGGGGCGAGCGUUGUUCGGAAUUACUGGGCGUAAAGGGCGCGUAGGCGGCCUGUUUAGUCAGAAGUGAAAGCCCCGGGCUUAACCUGGGAACGGCUUUUGAUACUGGCAGGCUUGAGUUCCGGAGAGGAUGGUGGAAUUCCCAGU
rnacentral:rRNA from 1 species